CACACACCAAACAUAUAUCUAAAAAGCCAGCUGCCCCUUUCUCGAUCUGGUUCACGAUUCGAAGUCUAUGGCCUCUGAAAUUCUUGAAAUCAAUGUAUACAGAGGCAGCAACGCAGGAGGAAGCUCCACCGCUGCCUGCUGCCGAGGAGAAGCCGCCGGAGAAGGCAGAUGAUAAUAAGGCAGAGCAAGGAGAUGAAAAGAAAGCCGGCCACCCCCUUUCUCUCAGACCGUCCAAGCCGUCAUUCUUCUUUCUCUCCAAGCCCAACCCAUCUACCGAAGCCACUGAGGGUUGAAUCGACGGUCAGAGCAGAUAAGAUAAUGGCACAGCUGAUUGGCGUCGAGAUUGAACAAGGAUUCGCCCUUUUCUCCAAGCCCUAACCCUAGCUCCCUCUCUCAUUCGAAGCCCUAAAUUCGAAGGACAUGAAUUGAGACCGACAAGGCUUCAAUGCGAGAUGAGAUCAUCGACUAUGUCAAAUUCCUCCAGCUCCAAGUCAAAGUUCUGAGUAUGAGCAGGUUGGGCGGUGCUGUAGCUGUUGCCCCCCUUGUUGCUGAUAUGUCCUCUGAGGUUGAGAGAAAAAUUGAUCUGGUAUAUGGUGGAGGCAGUGUUGGUCUAAUGGGAUUGAUCUCUAAAACUGUUUUUGAUGGUGGUUGUCAUAUUCUUAGAGUAAUUCCAAAAGCUCUUUUGACACAUGAAGUAAUAAUACCACUUUCUUGAUAUCAUUGGUUUUGGAGAUAUUCUAUGAAAGGCAAGAUCAAAUGAUGCAACUACUUCAAUCUUUGAAUGCUAACAACCAGUCCUCUCCCAUUGCUUCACAUCAAGACUCACCUUCUGAAGAUUUGGUCGGCAAGUCUUGUGAGCUAUUGCAUUUUCAUGGGACAAAAUCAGUUGUCGCCAAGGGGGUGAUUGAUUCAAUGGAUCCAACUGUUGGAGAGUAUGGAUCAUUGACCUCAUUGAUUCCAGUGUGCCCUUAUACAGGCCUGAAAUUCGUGGCUUUGAUUUGAAAGACGCAUAUGUUACAGGAUUUUCAAUUGCAUGGCCUAUCAAGUACAUCAAAAUUUGUCAAAGCUAGGAUUGCGGGUUUCUGUUGCCGUUACUUUUUUUGUUGCCGCUAUAUUUUUUGUAUGGCUCAAGAAGUUGCAAGAAGAUAUGAAGAAUUUUUUUUUAUUUCGGUUAAGUAAAUAUAUAAGGUGUCGAUCAUGUACUUCUUUCAAAUUUGUAUAUGGUUAAUUUUUGUAUAAAACAAUGAUUUGGAAUUGAUUUUAUAUAUAUAUAUAUAUAUAUAUAUAUUAGUUGUAAAUUAUUUUGGUUCUCAUGCUAUUUUUUAUUUAUUUAGGAUUGGUGAAGCUGUAAGGCUAGUAGUAGCGUAAAAAAAAAAAUUAAAAAAAAAAAAAGGCUUCAUAAGGGCUAAAUUAUUAUUUAAAAAAAAAAAAAAAUUAUAUAACAUUUUUUAC